CCUGGCUCAGGAUGAACGCUAGCUACAGGCUUAACACAUGCAAGUCGAGGGGCAGCAUGGUCUUAGCUUGCUAAGGCCGAUGGCGACCGGCGCACGGGUGAGUAACACGUAUCCAACCUGCCGUCUACUCUUGGACAGCCUUCUGAAAGGAAGAUUAAUACAAGAUGGCAUCAUGAGUCCGCAUGUUCACAUGAUUAAAGGUAUUCCGGUAGACGAUGGGGAUGCGUUCCAUUAGAUAGUAGGCGGGGUAACGGCCCACCUAGUCUUCGAUGGAUAGGGGUUCUGAGAGGAAGGUCCCCCACAUUGGAACUGAGACACGGUCCAAACUCCUACGGGAGGCAGCAGUGAGGAAUAUUGGUCAAUGGGCGAGAGCCUGAACCAGCCAAGUAGCGUGAAGGAUGACUGCCCUAUGGGUUGUAAACUUCUUUUAUAAAGGAAUAAAGUCGGGUAUGGAUACCCGUUUGCAUGUACUUUAUGAAUAAGGAUCGGCUAACUCCGUGCCAGCAGCCGCGGUAAUACGGAGGAUCCGAGCGUUAUCCGGAUUUAUUGGGUUUAAAGGGAGCGUAGAUGGAUGUUUAAGUCAGUUGUGAAAGUUUGCGGCUCAACCGUAAAAUUGCAGUUGAUACUGGAUAUCUUGAGUGCAGUUGAGGCAGGCGGAAUUCGUGGUGUAGCGGUGAAAUGCUUAGAUAUCACGAAGAACUCCGAUGCGAAGGCAGCCUGCUAAGCUGCAACUGACAUUGAGGCUCGAAAGUGUGGGUAUCAAACAGGAUUAGAUACCCUGGUAGUCCACACGGUAAACGAUGAAUACUCGCUGUUUGCGAUAUACUGCAAGCGGCCAAGCGAAAGCGUUAAGUAUUCCACCUGGGGAGUACGCCGGCAACGGUGAAACUCAAAGGAAUUGACGGGGGCCCGCACAAGCGGAGGAACAUGUGGUUUAAUUCGAUGAUACGCGAGGAACCUUACCCGGGCUUAAAUUGCAGAUGAAUUACGGUGAAAGCCGUAAGCCGCAAGGCAUCUGUGAAGGUGCUGCAUGGUUGUCGUCAGCUCGUGCCGUGAGGUGUCGGCUUAAGUGCCAUAACGAGCGCGACCCUUGUUGUCAGUUACUAACAGGUUCCGCUGAGGACUCUGACAAGACUGCCAUCGUAAGAUGUGAGGAAGGUGGGGAUGACGUCAAAUCAGCACGGCCCUUACGUCCGGGGCUACACACGUGUUACAAUGGGGGGUACAGAGGGCCGCUACCACGCGAGUGGAUGCCAAUCCCCAAAACCUCUCCCAGUUCGGACUGGAGUCUGCAACCCGACUCCACGAAGCUGGAUUCGCUAGUAAUCGCGCAUCAGCCACGGCGCGGUGAAUACGUUCCCGGGCCUUGUACACACCGCC
rnacentral:rRNA from 1 species